rnacentral:misc_RNA from 1 species
GUAGGUGAACCUGCGGAAGGAUCAUUACCAAUUGCCGGCGCGCAAGCGCCGACUCACACCCGUGUCAACCUACCUUUGUUGCUUUGGCAGGCCGCGGCCUCCGCUGCGGGCUCACGCUCGCACGUGCCUGCCAGAGGCCCAACUCUUGAAUUUAGUGAUGUCUGAGUACUAUUAAAUAGUUAAAACUUUCAACAACGGAUCUCUUGGUUCUG